CUCCCCUGUCUGGUGGGGUGGGAGACCGGUGGCUGCUCCCGCCGAGCUGAGAGCCACGUAGGGCACCCCAUGUGCUCACUACGCAUCUGGGAUGGCACCCCUGCCCUGAGGGCCCCGCAGAGUCCCACCCUUCCUGCAACCAGCCCCCCCAGAGCCAUUAAACCACCCACAAAUCCUGCCCCAACACCCCCACAGGCCCCAAAACGCCUCCGAGCCCUGCCGCAAUGUUGUCACUGACUCCAGACCUUCCCCUGCACUCUGUGCAAGGCCCCAAACUUUCCUCAAACUGCUGCCAGACCCAGUGCCCGCAGCAGUGAGGCGUUCUAACAAAGAUGGGGUGCGAUGUGCGUCUCCGCCUCGACUCAGUCCCGCUUUAGAGAAACAGGAAGUUACAGCACUUCCUGGUGAAGAGUGUUGACGGGUGAAUGUGCGGAUGACAAAGAGACUUCUCUCUCUUUUCUUCUGAGCCGCCUCUCAGAAGCCUCUGUGUGUGCACGAUGUGGCUGAUCUGGGAUAAUCGUGCUGUGCGCAGUGCUUAAGGAGAACAUUGCCCUAAAAUGGAGGGCUAAGGAAUAGCCUAAAAAACCUAAAAGGCUCGGGAAGAGCAAAAGAGAACACCGAUGGGCUCUGGGAAGCCCCAGUGAUGCUAGCGAAAACAGCGUGGCUUUUAGGCACCUCCUCAGAGCAGCAGCAAUGUCUCGCUCCAGCCUAUGGGACAAUGGGGACUCUUAAUUACCGCCUUGAAUUACCACAAGUGUUGCAAAAGCAGAAGGGACUAGGGAGCAUGCAGAGCAGGUUAUGGACUAUAUGUCAAGUUUAAACAAGCAACAAGCCCCUCUGCAGACAGAAACAGGUUUAGCCCUAAGUAAUAGAGGAAGGUAGCUGUGAGUAACGUGAAGCGAAGCGGUGACGUCAGUCACCCCGAAAGCCUCGGAGAAGCGGUCUGAAAAUCUGGUACCCUCGCGGCCUCGGCAGUCUUUUUGGUUUGUUUGGCAAGGUAGCCCACCGAAGGGGGACAUCUCGAAGAGAAGCAGCAAGACCUGGGGAUCCGGUGGUUCAUUUUGGUCGUCGCCUGUGAGGCCAGCAUGCAAGAGUAAGAGGAAGCUAGGAGCAGUCUCAAAAAGAGAUGGAACCAAGGACAGCAAAUGCUGACGAGAAGAGACGGACGAGCGUUUGCUUGUGGUUAAUACCGAAGGGACGGGAUGAAACAAGGAAGCCAGAAUGCAGCGGCCCCUCGAUAUCACCAGGAACUGCUACAGGAGGAGGCGUUCUGGCAUGGGUAACUAGGAUUAAUUGCCACGGCUGAAGUUGAAGAGACCAAGAAACGUAAGCCCCGAAGGGGCACAUCUUGAAGAGAGGGGGCUAGACCUAGCGAUGCAGUUGUUCGUUUUGGUCGUCGCCUGUGAGGCCAGCAUGCAAGAGUAAGAGGAAGCUAGGAGCAGUCUC